CUGUGCAUUUCCUUGUAAAAUCCAGCUUUCGCAAGAGCAUGAACAAAUCAGUUUGGCAAGACCUCCCCACCCUCAACAUCUGAUCACGUGUCUCAUCCUCCAUGAUGCCACAGAACUCUGCAGAGCCACCACCAGCAAGAAGGUCCUCACCAGAUGCAGCCCCUUGACCUUAGACUUCUCACCUUCAAGAACUGUGGUCUUCAGGGCUGUCUCCAUGAAGUCAUCACCAGCCUUCCCAGGCCAGGACUCUCCAUGCCAUCCUUAGCAAGGAGAAGAAAACAAAUACCCGGCAUCCAUUUCCAGGUCCUGCAUGAUGUGAUGGGAGAGGGGAGAACACUUGUGAAGACACCAAGACACACAGACAGAGGGAAGAUGGCCAUGUGCAGAUGGAGGCAGGGACUGGACUUAUGCUGCCACAAGACAAGAAACACCUGGGGCUGCCAGAUGCCGGAAAAGGCAGGGAAGAGUCCUCCUCCAGAGUCUUCAGAGAGAACAUGACUCUGCAAGCACCUUGAUUUCAGACCUCUAGCCUCCAGACCUGUGAGAAUAAAUGUCUAUUGGUGUUAGGCACCCAGUUUGUAAUACUUUGUUACAGCGGCCCUAGGAAACUAAUACACACCAUAACCCAUAUGAGGGCAAGAACCUUAUGUAUUUUUACUCAGCAUUGACUUCCUAACU
rnacentral:lncRNA from 1 species